rnacentral:lncRNA from 1 species
UUUUUUUUUUUGCCUUGAGAAUAAGUCAUUUCCCAAACAUACUAGGACACACUUUGGAAAGANNNNNNNNNNNNNNNNNNNNNNNNNNNNNNNNNNNNNNGAGUUCUUUUACAGGAAAACUUCGGGUAAAAGAGAUGGAAGCCUGGGUCCAAAGUGACAAAGGAAGCACAAAUGUGUUAAUGAUGCAGAAAAGUCACCGCCUGGGCUUUGAAUGCUGCUGACACAUCAAAGGGCCCUGUUUGCCACAAAGAAGAAGAUCAUUUCUGGAGAGGGACAAAACCUUUGGGAGAAUGCUGCUGAAGCCCUUGAUUCACUGGUUAAUUAUGCAGACCAGCCCUCUGUUCUGCUGCCCCAGAGGUCAUGAAUUUGAACAUGCUUCAUGCCACCUUCAGAACAAACAGGCAAAACAACCCCAAACCAGGCUGUCUUUGGGGACUUUGUCAAGAAAGCCACUUUUUGGGCAACAUCAGCAUAUGCAAUACAAAUAUUCUCAUCAAAUAUUCACUUAUUUAAGCCAUUAAAUGAGAGGAAAAUUCUUCAGUAAAUAAGUACUUAAGAUAGCUGUCUUAUUUCACCAGUAGGCUAUAGAAUACCCAAAGCCUACAUUAAACUGUAUGUUAAGAUAGUUGAGAGAAAACUAGAAUUAGUUUUCUAUGUUUUAAAUAAUUCUAUGAUAGAACACAAGAAGACUAUUAACCAAAAUGUUAUGUCUUUGCUUGGAGGAAAUUUGUUAUUUUUAAUUCUGCUUUUUUAUACAUUCCAAAUUUAUUACAGUAAACAUAGACUACUUAUCUAGUGAAAGAAUAUAAAUAUUUUUCUUAUUGUGACAGAACACCCUAUAUGCCAGCAACAUUUUCUAGAAAAAUACUCAACUUCUCAAAAUGACUCAUUCUCUGAGGUUAGGUAGCCAAGGCUUGAUUGUAAUUUAGCAUGAAAUAGAAAGAGAAACUCAAGAGACUACACAGGUAAGAGAGUUUCACUGAGCUCAUUUAAUUUUCCAUUAGUAAUGGAAUUUUUAAUCACCUAAGUCACCGGUUUGCAUGUCUGUUUUCACUAAGGAUACAGGCAGGUGGGAGAUGUGCAGUUAUUUUAUAAUUAUUUAUUUGUAUGUGUUGAGAAAAAGCCCUCAGAAAUUUUAGCAGAAACUGGUUGGUCAGACUUAAGAGGAGUUAUCAAUAUCCUUCUUCAUUAAAAAAAAAAAAAAAAAAAAAAGCUGAAUUGGCAACUUCACAAAUUUAUGUAACCCAAAUUUAGCAGUUUAGCAACUUCAUGCUGUGUGCUGCCCAGUCACUGUUAGAAAUAGUUUUUCUAGUCCAAUUCUCAAACCCACACCUGGCCUCCCUCCUUUUAGCAGGAGAUUUGCCAUUUUUUAUUUACAGAGUGAGUUAUUUGAACGCUCUCAAAUUUCCACCUUCUCAGUUCCAGUUUUUUUUAUUUUUUUGUUUUUUGUUUUUGUCUUUUUGUCUUUUUAGGGCCGCAGGUGCAGCAUAUGGAGGUUCCCAGGCUAGGGGUCUAAUCAGAGUUAUAGCUGCUGGCCUAUACCAGAGCCACAGCAAGGCCAGAUCCAAGCCGUGUCUUCGACCUACGCCACAGCUCAUGGCAACGCCAAUUCCUUAACCCACUGAGUGAGUGAGGCUAGGGAUCGAACCCAAAACCUCAUGGUUCCUAGUCAGGUUCCUUUCCACUGCGCCACAACGGGAACUCCCUCAGUUCCAGUUUUUAGGUCUCUUGGCUCUUUUUCUUUCCUGUUCUAGAGGAAAGAUGCUUCCCCAGCCUUCUCACCAGAGUUUGCAGACACCUCCUCUGCCCUCUCUUCAGAAACUUCUAUUCAGUGGACAUCCUAUUGCUUGGAUUUCAAUCUUUCCAUCUUUACUGACACUGAAUUAUUAUUGAAUGAUAUACUGAAUUAUUUUUCAGUUGAAAAGCAAGCCAAAACAUAACCAUAAAAAAUAAAACCUGGAGUUCCCAUCAUGGCACAGUGGUUAACGAGUCCGACUAGGAAACAUGAGGUUGCGGGUUCGGUCCCUGCCCUUGCUCAGUGGGUUGACAAUCAGGCAUUGCUGUGAGCUGUGGUGUAGGUUGCAGACGCAGCUCGGAUCCCACGUUGCUGUAGCUCACCCCUAGCCUGGGAAUCUCCAUGUGCAGCGGGAGCGGCCCAAGAGAUGGCAAAAAGACAAAGAAAAAUAGAAAGAAAGAAAGAAAACCCCAAAAUACAAAGUUCAAUAAAUUCAAAUAGAAAUAUGAAAUCCACAAAGAAAACCCCAAAAUACAAAGUUCAAUAAAUUCAAAUAGAAAUAUUUUUUAAAAUAUUAAUGUAAAACAAAGUAUAAACAAAGACUAAUAACAAACAAUAGUUAUUUGCAAAGUAUAUGAUUACCAGAGGAUAAAAUCCUCAUCAUUAUAUAACAUAACCAUAAUAUAUAAUCAAUAAUUUUUACAAAUCAGUAAGAACUGAGAAUACAUUUUACAUCACAUAUUUAAAUGCUGAAAUCUGAUUAUUUCAUAAAUCAUAUAGAAUUUAUGUCGUAUCUGUUGAUAUAUAUUCAUUAUUUAAGUAAUACUUUACUAUAGCUUAAGGCCAAGAGUUGUGGCUAUAGACAUUGACAGAUUAGUAGUUCGUUUUGAUUAUAAGAACUCUUGUCCUCCAACAACAAAUGAAGAACUUUUCUUAAUACGUGGUUUAGAGAUUGGCAAACCAUGAGCCUAUGGGCCAAAUUUAACCCACCACCCAUUUCUGUAAAGAAAGUUACUGAAAGAUAGGCAUGCCCAUUUAUUUACACACUGCCUAUAGCUGCUUUCAUGCUAUAGGGGCAAAACUGAGUAGUUGCAAUGGAGUUGUAUGGCCUGCAAAAUCUGAAAUAUUUACUCUCUGGCCCUUCACUGAAAAAAAGGUUUCCAACUGCUUGUUUAGAAUAUUUAGCUUAUUUAAAUCACAGAAAUAUUGGAGUUCCCUUUAUGGCACACCGGAAAUGAAUCCGACUAGUAACCAUGAGGUGGCAGGUUUGAUCCCUGGCCUUGCUCAGUGGACUGAGGAUCCAGCAUUGCCAUAAGCUGUGGUGCAGAUCACAGAUGUGGCUUGGAUCCCAUGCUGCUGUGGUGUAGGCUGGCAGCUGUAGGUCCAAUUCAACCCCUAGCCUGGGAACCUCACGUGCUGUGAGUGUGGCCUUAAAGAGAAAAAAAAAAAAAAAAAAAUCACAGAAAUAUUUGAUCCAUUUUCCAGGAUCAUUCCUUUUUAAUUCCAUACAAUUAUAUCCUACAAGGCAUAAGGAUUUGUUGUUGCUGUUUGGUUUUUUGGUGGGACCAGGGAUUGAACCCGUGCCACAGCAGUGACCUUAGCCACAGGAGUAAUAAUGCCAGAUCCUUAUCCUUAUCCUUCCCUUAGGUCACCAGGGAAGUCCAGUAAGUUUUUUUUUUCUUUUUUUUAAGAACAUAAAUUCCUAAAUAGAAAGGAUUAGGUUUUUAUACUUUAGGUGUAAUAUGUUCACAUUACAAUAAUUGAAUAAUAGAACAGUAAUCUUUCAAAAACAUAAGUUUUAAAACUGUUAAAGAAAAACUUCAGAAGAGUUACAAACAUCCAUGCAGAACUGAAUACAAUAAUCAUGAAAUUAUUUAAAUAGACUGAAUUCUGUAGUUUUGAGUGUUAUCUUGCUAAGGCACUACCAUAGAUCCUUUUCUGACAGUAUAACUGUCAGUAAAACAGAAACCCC